GACGAACGCUGGCGGCGUGCUUAACACAUGCAAGUCGAACGAGAACGGAUUAUAGCUUGCUAUAAUUGUCAGCUAAGUGGCGCACGGGUGAGUAAUGUAUAGGUAAUAUGCUUCUUACUAAGGGAUAACAAAUGGAAACGUUUGCUAAUACCUUAUACUCCUUAUUAACAGAAGUUAAUAAGGGAAAGAUUUAUUGGUAAGAGAUUAGCCUGUAUUGUAUCAGUUAGUUGGUGGGGUAAUGGCUUACCAAGACUAUGACACAUAACUGGUUUGAGAGGAUGAUCAGUCACACUGGAACUGAGACACGGUCCAGACUCCUACGGGAGGCAGCAGUGGGGAAUAUUGCACAAUGGACGAAAGUCUGAUGCGGCAACGCCGCGUGGAGGAUGACACAUUUCGGUGCGUAAACUCCUUUUAUAUGAGAAGAUAAUGACGGUAUUAUAUGAAUAAGCACCGGCUAACUCCGUGCCAGCCGCCGCAGUAAUAC
rnacentral:rRNA from 1 species